rnacentral:rRNA from 1 species
UACGUAGGGACCGAGCGUUGUCCGGAUUCAUUGGGCGUAAAGAGCUCGUAGGCGGCUAUUCAAGUCGAACGUGAAAUCUCGGAGCUCAACUCCGAAACUGCGUUCGAUACUGGGUAGCUAGAGUCUGGUAGGGGGAUCUGGAAUUCCCGGUGUAGCGGUGAAAUGCGCAGAUAUCAGGAGGAACACCGGUGGCGAAGGCGGGUCUCUGGGCCGAUACUGACGCUGGAGGAGCGAAAGCGUGGGGAGCAAACAGG